GUCCCCUAGUGUCUCAGUGUCCCCAUAUGUCCCCUAGUGUCUCAGUGUCCCCUAGUGUCUCAGUGUUCACAUGUGUCCCCUAGUGUCUCAGUGUUCACAUGUGUCCCCUAGUGUCUCAGUGUCCCCAUGUGUCCCCCAGUGUCCCCAUCCCUCACUUACCUGAGCUGUAGAGCUGCUGUCUGGACUCUGUGCUGUGUUGCUGCUCCCCCACGGAUCAGUAAGUAGUAGAGAGAGGCAGGGAUAUGCUGUAACUUCCUAUCCCUGCCUCUCUCCACACAGUGACCUCUAUUGGCUGGUGCUGGUAUUGCAGAGUAAUCUCCAUUUAUUCUGAGAAAAAUACCUGCAAUUGUAUUGCUGGUAUUACUGCAAUACCGGCAUGGCCAGGCAGCC